rnacentral:rRNA from 1 species
CGAUUGGGAACCGGCGUAAGGGGCAGUAAGGCAUGGGUACCUACCCCGGGGUCCGGGAUAGCCACCAGAGAUGGUGGGUAAUACCGGAUGACCUCGUGAGAGCAAAGAUUUAUCGCCCUGGGAGGGGCCCAUGUGAUAUUAGCUAGUUGGUGGGGUAACGGCUCACCAAGGCGAAGAU